UCAAAUCUACAUUUUCAAUUCUCAGGAAAAAGUUUACAUAUUCGAGGGUGUGUUUGGUACGAAAAGAAAUAUUUUCUAUGGAAAAUCCAUGGAAGAUGUUUCCAUGUAAAAUGAGUGGUUUUAUCACUUAUUUUCUCUUGUUUGGUUGGUGAGUGAAAAAACUUUUCCGGAAAGUAUUUUUUACAUGAGCAUUUAUACAAUAUUCCCUAAAGAUCCGGAUGUCACUGAGUACAUGAGUAUUUAUAAAAUAAUAUGGUCCGAAAUACUGAAACACCAUAUAGGAAAGUAGAACAAUAUAUGUAAAUAAAACUAACAGAUAAAGAAGGAGAGUCAAGGUCUGUGGACGUCAGAGCAGCUACCUCGAAAAUCUUUGAACUGAUAAAGCUCCGAAAACCAGCAAACCACUGUAUCCGGAAGUACCUGAAUCUGCGCCCGAAGUGCAGGGUGUGUACAACCAACCCAGUAAGUAACAAGUCUAACCUUUGAGCUGAAAGCAGUGACGAGCCCAACAGGUACAGUGCAAAUAUAGAAAUAAAAGUACAAAAAUAUAUACAUGCUUUCAAGUUCAACAGUUAAAGCUCAAACAGGUAAAAUAUGCCAAGUGUAACUGAAAUGAGGAAUGAUACGUCUCGAUAUUUACAUUUCAAUUAUGUAUGCCAACUGUAAUGCAAAACACUGAUGAAAUCAUACGGAUACUCUCAGAGUAUCAAAUCACUCAGUCCUUACAUUCACUCAAUCCUCACAGUCAGUCAUUCCUCACAAUCACUUAGUCCUCAUAGCCACUCAAUCCUACCAAUAGCUCGGCACUCGCACUCAACACUCGCACUCGCACUCACACUUAGUAGGUCAUGCACUCACUGUUGAUAAGUCAGACUCCGGAGGGGCGGAUACAGCCCAAGCACUAUAAUAAGUCAAUCAUGGCAUGAACUAAUAAAGCAUAUUGUGGCAUGCAGCCCGAUCCCAUAAAUAUCCUCACAAUCAGUCCCUCGGCCUCACUUAGUCAUCAGUCUCUACAGUCUCUCGAGCUCACAAGUCUUAUGAUAUUCAGCCCAAACAAUGAUGAUUUGAUGCAUCAAUAAAUGGCAACAGAGACUGAGAUAUGAUAUGCAAAUAAUAGCUGUGACUGAGUACAUGAUUGCAAAUUAAGCAAGUAAUUUAACAGCAACACGACCUCUACGGGUCCCAACAAUACCAACAUAUGGCCUAAGCAUAAUUUCUAACAAGAAUCACAUCUCAAUUUCUUUAACACAUGGGAAAUACGUGGAAAGUGACAAGUUAUAUGACUACACAGUUCCACGGAGUCAACCGAGUCACAAUUCUUACGGUGUACGCCUACAUGCCUGUCACCUAGCAUGUGCGUCACCUCAAUACCAAUCACAUAACACCUAAUUCGGGGAUUUAUACCCUCAAAACCAUGUUUAGAAGUGUUACUUACCUCAAGCCGUGCAAAUCUCUACUCCAAUAAUCUCUUGCCUUAUGAAUCGGCCUCGGAAUGACUCGAAUCUGGCUACAAAAAACACGAUACAAUCAACACAAGCCAUAGGAAUCAUUUCAAUAUGAAAAAACUAAGUUGUUAAGCAAAAGUCAAAAAGUCAACUCAAAAAAAUAACUGCGGACCCACAUCUCGAAAGCUUAUAAAAGUUUCAAAAUCCGAACACCCAUUCAACCACGAGUCCAACCAUACCAAAUUUAUCAAAUUCCGAUACAAAAUCGUCACUCAAAUGCCCAAAUUUUAUUUUUUAAUCUCUAGCCUAAAACUCCCAAAAUUUCACCUCGCAAAUACAUAAACUAGGUGAAAAAUUCAAUAGGUAAUUAAUAUUAUUGCAUACAAAUGAUCAAGAGUGACUUACCUCGAGAAACCCCUCGAAAUCCCUCUCAAAAGCGCCUUAAUUCGAGUUUGCAAAGUCCAAAAAUGAUAAAACCUCGGAACCCUAUGUUUAUAUUCUGCCCAGUGCUUUUCGCACCUGGGACCAACUUGACCAUAUUUGCGGUUCUCCUGGCAACCUCCUGUGCUCACACCUGCAGACAAGGUUCCGCAUCUGCGGAGCCGCACCGACAACCAACAUUUUCACGACUCUAUUUUUCUUGAAGAAUUUAAUUAUUCUUCUAAAAAUUCACACAAACCCAAAGAAACUAAUGUGCUGCUUUAUAUUUUUACGCAAAAGUAAUGUUUAAAUUUGUGCUCCAUAACUAAAAAGAAAAUACUCUAUUUUUAGUUGAAAAAGAAAGUACUCUUUCUACAACAUGAAAAUAAAGUACUCAUUUUAUUAAAAGAAAAGAAAAUACUUUUUCUACACCAUGAAAAGAAAAUAUUCAUUUUGUUGAAUUGAAAAAAAAAACUUUUUCUACAUCAUGAAAAUAAUAUUUUUUUGUUGAAAUGAAAGAAAAACUUUUUCUAUGAAAAAAGAAAGUAUAUGUUUUUGUUGAAAUGAAAAAAAUACUUUUUUAUAUCAUGUAAAAAAAAUAGUCAUUUGUUGAAAUACAAAAAUGAAAUAUAUCUAUAACAUUAAAAAAAGUACUAUUAAUAAUAUUUUUAUUUGGGGCGGGGGUGGGGGUGAGAGGAUGGGUGGGUAGGCGGAGGUGGGGCGGGGGUUAGGUUGGGGUUGUGUGGGUUGAUGGGGAUAGGGAAUAGGGUGAAGAAAGUUAAAAAGGAGUUUUAGAAAAUAUUUUUCCUUCUCUUGAUAGGGAAAAUAUUUUUCUCCAAUUGGAUGAAAAUGAGUUCAUGAGAAAAAUAUUUUUCAAAAUAUUUAAGCCAACCAAACAUUCCGGAAAAUAUUUUCCGGAAAAUAUUUUUUCCUUCGUAGCAAACACACCCUUAGUCUUUCCAUACUUGUUCUUCUACAUUUGGAGGCCGGUUUACAAAGUAACAUAUAAGAAAAUGAGAAGAGCAUUCUGUUAGAGCUGAAGCAACUAUGGGGAAAUCAGUUAGGAUUCGAGUCGUUGAAUUCCUAUACCUCAUAUUGCAAUUGAUUUGUGUAGAAUGCAGAAAAGGUUCUGACAAGCAUCCAUCUCGGAGAGAAACAACUUACUGGAAUAAUUCCACCAAUUAUAUAUGGACUCAAAAAGCCUAGAAGCUAUGUUGCUCGAACUCUCCAAAAGUGCUGCCCCACCCGUGUCGGAUCCUUCAAAAAUGCACUAAAUUUGAAGGAUCCGACACGCACCCAAUAAUAUUUUUGAAGAGUCCGAGUAACAUAGCCUAGAAGUGAUAACAAAUUUUCUGGGGACCGGGUUUACCCACUAUAGCUGGAAUUUUAAGAUUAAGAACAUUAGGUCUUUGGUUGAAUUAUUAGGUGAGUACAUGGAAAAUCAAAGCUUAGACAAGUGGCUUCAUCACAAGAGAUCAAUAAGUGAAAAAGCUAUUACUGCUUCAGCACAUUCUGUCUUGGAAUGGAAUACUAGACUGCAAAAUUGCAGUUGGAGCUCUAUGAUACAUGCAUCACGAGUGCUCCCCACCAAUCAUUCAUCGCGACAUUAAGUGUAGCAAUAUCCUUUUAGACCAUGAAUUGAAUGCCAAAAUUGCAGAUUUUGGACUGGCUAAGGUUUUGGCUAAGUGGGGAGAGACGGAGACUGCUUCUGCUAUCGCUGGCACGUUUUGUAACCUUGCACCAGGUAUAUCUCAUUAUUAGAAUACGAGUUAUGUUUCUUAUUCUUGAAAUUUAAGAGUUUGCAUCUACGUCAAAACUGAAUGUCAAGAGUGAUGUCUACAGCUUUGGUGUGGUAUUAGUGAAGGAAGUUUUGCAAAUUCUAUAACUGGGCAUUUGGACAUAAAAAUUGUAAAAUUCCAAAAAAAGAGAAAAAGAAUUUCAAGGGAAAAUGGUAUUUGAAAAUUAGAGUUGUGUUCGGACAUGAAUAUAAUUUUGGGUUGUUUUUAAAUUUUUGUGAGUGAUCUGAUUGAACAUUUUGAAAAACAGCUUUUUGGAGUUUUUUAAAUUCUUGAAAAAUUCUAAAAUUCAUUUUCAAGAGAAAAUUGAAAAUUUUAUGGCCAAACACUAAUUUCGAAAAAAGUAAAACUUUUUCAAAAAAAAGUGAAAAAUUUACAAGAAUAAUUUACUAACUAAUUUACAAGAAUUCAACUAUUUUUUUCUAACAUUCAAAUAAUGAAAAUAUACCAAAAAUAUAUAACUAACCUUGUUAUCGGAGAACACUGCUGCUGGAAGGGAGAGGAAGAGAAGACCCUAAGCUCUCUCGCUCAACCCGAAGCUUCGCCGCCGGAAGAAAAAAGAAGUUAAGAUUCCGCCGUCGUCGUUGGAGAGGAUGAGAGGGAAAAAUACCGUGAAGAGGGGAGGUGGUGAAAGUGUUCCGCCAUGGAGACAGGAAGGAGGUGGGAGUGUUUCGCCGUGGAGAGGGGAAGAGGUGGG
rnacentral:lncRNA from 1 species